rnacentral:rRNA from 1 species
GUGCCAGCCGCCGCGGUAAAACGUAGGAGCCUAGCGUUAUCCGAAUUCACUGGGCGUAAAGCGCGUGCAGGCGGCUUGGUAAGUUGGAUGUGAAAUCUCUCGGCUCAACUGGGAGAGGACGUUCAAUACUGCCAGGCUAGAGGGCGGAAGAGGGAGGUGGAAUUCCCGGUGUAGUGGUGAAAUGCGUAGAUAUCGGGAGGAACACCAGUGGCGAAGGCGGCCUCCUAGGCCGCUCCUGACGCUCAGACGCGAAAGCUAGGGGAGCGAACGGGAUUAGAAACCCCCGUAGUCC